rnacentral:rRNA from 1 species
AUACGGAGGAUCCAAGCGUUAUCCGGAUUUAUUGGGUUUAAAGGGAGCGUAGGCGGAUUAUUAAGUCAGUUGUGAAAGUUUGCGGCUCAACCGUAAAAUUGCAGUUGAUACUGGUAGUCUUGAGUGCAGCAGAGGUAGGCGGAAUUCGUGGUGUAGCGGUGAAAUGCUUAGAUAUCACGAAGAACUCUGAUUGCGAAGGCAGCUUACUGGACUGUAACUGACGCUGAUGCUCGAAAGUGUGGGUAUCAAACAGGAUUAGAUACCCUGGUAGUCCACACAGUAAACGAUGAAUACUCGCUGUUUGCGAUAUACAGCAAGCGGCCAAGCGAAAGCAUUAAGUAUUCCACCUGGGGAGUACGCCGGCAACGGUGAAACUCAAAGGAAUUGACGGGG